GUGAGGAAUUUUCCGCAAUGGGCGAAAGCCUGACGGAGCAAUGCCGCGUGAAGGAUGAAGGCCUAUGGGUUGUAAACUUCUUUUCUCAGAAAAGAAUUAUGACGGUAUCUGAGGAAUAAGCAUCGGCUAACUCUGUGCCAGCAGCCGCGGUAAGACAGAGGAUGCAAGCGUUAUCCGGAAUGAUUGGGCGUAAAGCGUCUGUAGGUUGUUUAAAAAGUAUUCUGUCAAAGAUUAGGGCUUAACCCUAGAUAGGCAGAAUAAACUUUUAAGCUAGAGUUAGGUAGAGGCAGAGGGAAUUCUCGGUGGAGCGGUGAAAUGCGUAGAUAUCGGGAGGAACACCAAAGGCGAAGGCACUCUGCUGGGCCAAUACUAACACUGAGAGACGAAAGCGAGGGGAGCAAAUGGGAUUAGAUACCCCGGUAGUCC
rnacentral:rRNA from 1 species